UACGUAGGGUGCAAGCGUUGUCCGGAAUUACUGGGCGUAAAGCGUGCGCAGGCGGUUCGUUAAGUUCGAUGUGAAAGCCCCGGGCUCAACCUGGGAACUGCAUUGGAAACUGGCGAGCUUGAGUGCGGCAGAGGGGGGUGGAAUUCCGCGUGUAGCAGUGAAAUGCGUAGAGAUGCGGAGGAACACCGAUGGCGAAGGCAGCCCCCUGGGCCGACACUGACGCUCAGGCACGAAAGCGUGGGGAGCAAACAGG
rnacentral:rRNA from 1 species